AUGGACGUCGCCAUCUCAAGCCGCCUCCGCGCCUUCGAGAGCUGGAUGCGGAAGCACGGCGUCGUCUGCAGCGACGUGCUCCGCCUCGACGCCAGCGAGGCCGGCGGCGUCAACGUGCGCGCGCUCGCCGCGCUCCGGGAGGGCGACGUUGUUGCCACCAUCCCGCGUCGCGCCUGCGUGACGCCGCGCACGUCCGGGGCCGCGGCGGCCAUCAAGGACGCGCAGCUCGGUGGCACGCUCGCUCUCGCCGUCGCCGUCAUGUACGAGCGCGCGUGGGGCGCCGAAUCGCCGUGGUACGACUACCUCCGCCUGAUCCCGGACUGCGAGCCCGUGCUGCUCGUCUGGUCAGAGGACGAGGUCGCGCGCCUCCUUGCCGGCACCGAACUCGAUAAGACAGUGAAGCAAGACAGGGAAUUCCUUCGUGAGGAUUGGAAGAAUGUAUGGAGCCACUCAUUUCUUCUGGAGAAUUGGGUGUCAAGCCAGAUGAUCUUAGCCUGGAGAAAUAUUUUGCUGCUAAAAGUCUUCUUUCGUCAAGGUCCUUCCGUAUAG
rnacentral:rRNA from 1 species